UACCGAGGGUGCGAGCGUUAAUCGGAAUUACUGGGCGUAAAGCGCACGUAGUCGGCUUUGCAAGUCGGUUGUGAAAUCCCCGGGCUCAACCUGGGAACUGCAUCCGAGACUGCAUUGCUAGAGUAUGGGAGAGGAAAGCGGAAUUUCUGGUGUAGCAGUGAAAUGCGUAGAUAUCAGAGGGAACACCAGUGGCGAAGGCGGCUCACUGGCCCGGUACUGACGCUGAGGUGCGAAAGCGUGGGGAGCAAACGGG
rnacentral:rRNA from 1 species